rnacentral:tRNA from 1 species
GGGCCCCUAGCUCAGUCGGUUAGAGCAGGCGACUCAUAAUCGCUUGGUCGUGGGUUCGAGUCCCACGGGGCCCACCA